GGGGGUAUAGCUCAGUGGGUAGAGCGCUGCCUUUGCACGGCAGAAGUCAGCGGUUCGAGUCCGCUUACCUCCACCA
rnacentral:tRNA from 7 species